CCAGGAUGGAUUGUUACCAUGUGCCAAUAAAGUUCUGGAAUGUUCUCAAUAAUAGAAUCUAUGCUCCAGUAUUUAUUGAGCAUAUUUGAGUGCAUUGUCUCAUUUGACCUUCAUAAAACCCUCAUAAGAUGGUUUCUUGGUUUUGCAUGAGAGGAUGCAAUUGGGGUUAGUUAACUGGUCACCUCACAAGUAAGGGGAAGAACUAAAGUUGGAACUGAUCUUUUUUAAAAGCUGGACACAACCACAUAGUAGAAUUCUAUUUUGGCUUCAGGACAUGUUAAACAUUUUCCCAGGCACUCCUGGAGGGGAUUCCUCAGUUUAAACUUUCAUCAGUCAACACCCAGAAGCAAACUUCACACCCUCUCUUGUGAGUCAUGUGAUCAAAAAAGGGAUAAGAAAUGAGAAAAUGCUAGGGUGCUGAAGAGUAAACACAGGACAACAAAUGGAUACAGACUGGAUAUUCAUGGUUCUGGACUCUCAAGGCUCCAGUGCCAAUGUGGCCCCUAUGGAAAGGAUACCUGAAGACCGAAAAUCCACAGUGCAGAGCUCAGCAGCUAGGCAAAGCCAACAUUGGAGUUUACCUGGUAAACACUUAGUUCAGAGCUAGCACAUAAUGCUAUCAAAAUGAUAGCUCAUGUGUAAAGCUCUCAUUUUACAUGAACUAACCCUUAAUCCUCUUAAUAUUAUAGGAUGUGAAACCAGCAGCCAAACUCACUAUCCUAUUGUUCCAGAACAUCCAGUCCCCUGGCAAGUGUCCUAAAUCAUCUCACACUGUGGUCUCACUUGUCCCCCUGCAUAGACUCCCAGUGACUGCAGAGCUGUUCCUGAGCCCCAUCUCUGUGACUGGGGUGCCUUUCUCUUGCAGAAAAAGCUCCUUAAUGUUGACCAUUUGUUUAAUUUUCAUUUUAAAAAACCCUAUAGCCUCUUUUCUGUGUUGGGGAUCCCUAAGGCCACCCUCAGUUUCACUGAUUUACUAGAAUUUCUCACAGUUCUCAGAAUAAAGUCAUACUUGUGAUUCUGAUUUACUACA
rnacentral:lncRNA from 1 species